CCUACGGGAGGCAGCAGUGGGGAAUCUUGCGCAAUGGGCGAAAGCCUGACGCAGCCAUGCCGCGUGAAUGAUGAAGGUCUUAGGAUUGUAAAAUUCUUUCACCGGGGACGAUAAUGACGGUACCCGGAGAGGAAGCCCCGGCUAACUUCGUGCCAGCAGCCGCGGUAAUACGAAGGGGGCUAGCGUUGCUCGGAAUUACUGGGCGUAAAGGGAGCGUAGGCGGAUAGUUUAGUCAGAGGUGAAAGCCCAGGGCUCAACCUUGGAAUUGCCUUUGAUACUGGCUAUCUUGAGUAUGGGAGAGGUAUGCGGAACUCCGAGUGUAGAGGUGAAAUUCGUAGAUAUUCGGAAGAACACCAGUGGCGAAGGCGGCAUACUGGCCCAUUACUGACGCUGAGGCUCGAAAGCGUGGGGAGCAAACAGGAUUAGAUACCCUGGUAGUCCACGCUGUAAACGAUGAGUGCUAGUUGUCGGCAUGCAUGCAUGUCGGUGACGCAGCUAACGACAUUAAGACACUCCGCCGUGGGGAGGUACGGUCGGCGAAGUAAGUUAAAACUUAACGAAAGUAAAGUUAGUUAGGCGNGNGAGNGCGACGACGACGACGAGGAGGAGG
rnacentral:rRNA from 1 species